ACACCUUCCAUUUGCAGGACUGAGUGCGAGUGUAAAUUGUUGUUUAUCCCCUGUGUGUUGGCCCUGCGAUGGACUGGUGAACUGUCCAGUCCAUCGCCUGUUAAU